CCUACGGGAGGCAGCAGUGGGGAAUCUUGCGCAAUGGGCGAAAGCCUGACGCAGCAACGCCGCGUGCGGGAUGAAGGCCUUCGGGCUGUAAACCGCUUUCAGCAGGAACGAAAAUGACGGUACCUGCAGAAGAAGGAGCGGCCAACUACGUGCCAGCAGCCGCGGUGACACGUAGGCUCCAAGCGUUGUCCGGAUUUAUUGGGCGUAAAGAGCUCGUAGGCGGUCUAAUAAGCCGGGUGUGAAGACUCUGGGCUCAACCCGGAGACGCCAUCCGAUACUGUUAUGACUUGAGUUCAGGAGGGGAGCGGGGAAUUCCUAGUGUAGCGGUGAAAUGCGCAGAUAUUAGGAGGAACACCGGUGGCGAAGGCGCCGCUCUGGACUGAAACUGACGCUGAGGAGCGAAAGCAUGGGUAGCAAACAGGAUUAGAUACCCUGGUAGUCCAUGCCGUAAACGGUGGGCACUAGGUGUGGGUUUCAACUAACGAAAUCCGCGCCGUCGCUAACGCAUUAAGUGCCCCGCCUGGGGGAGGUACGGUCGCAGACUAAACUACAAGAAGUAGACGCGNGAGACGNGCCGACGGACGACGACGAGGGAGUAGG
rnacentral:rRNA from 1 species